GUUUUCCUCUUAAAGUUGAUGAUUGCUACGACUACUUAAUUUGUUUUUGAUAACGAAGGCAUCCCUGAAACGAAGCAGCUGUUACGACCCAAGUCUAUAUAUACCGAGGCUCUGGUAUUAUGAUUUGUUGACUGUUCUCGAGAACCAGAAAAUUCUAGGAACUUUACAAACUAUGAAUGAAUUUUCGGUAACAUGCUAUUCGAUAUGAGAAUUUAUUCUCCUGUGCAGAGUUAUCUUUCAGAUGGCAAUCCUGAUCAGAAGAAUCUUUUGGCAGUUUCAGAAAAUUCAAAAAACAGUGGCCCAGCCUAUAAAUUACCAACAAUGCUUGAUACAUAAAGAGCAUGGCCCUUAUGAGAUACAGCCAUGAUACAAAUCACAGU